rnacentral:tRNA from 1 species
GGGAAGGUAGUUUAGUCGGUUAAAAUACAGGAUAAUAAUCCAAGAGCCGGUGGUUCGAAUCCACUCUUUCCCACCA